rnacentral:rRNA from 1 species
CCUACGGGACGCAGCAGUGGGGGAUAUUGCACAAUGGGGGGAACCCUGAUGCAGCGACGCCGCGUGGGUGAAGAAGCGCCUCGGCGCGUAAAGCCCUGUCAGCAGGGAAGAAAAUGACGGUACCUGAAGAAGAAGCCCCGGCUAACUACGUGCCAGCAGCCGCGGUAAUACGUAGGGGGCAAGCGUUAUCCGGAUUUACUGGGUGUAAAGGGUGCGUAGGCGGUCGAUUAAGUCUGGAGUGAAAGGUACCGGCUCAACCGGUAUAGGCUCCGGAAACUGAUGGACUGGAGUACAGGAGA